GCCCCCCUACUCCACUGGGCCUCGGCCGGCCGGAGGGGCGCCCAGUGUAAAGGCAGAGGGCUCUGCUUCCAGUUCCAGCCUCAACUGGGAGCCUCCAGAAUUUUCCCUGGGGCGAGAAGCUGGGCUGUUGGAACAGAAAGAGCGAGUGCCGCCCGUCCUGUUCGCCGCCUGGGAGAAGGGAUUUGGAGAAGAUGCCCAGGAGAGAGGCUUGGGGAGCCCGGAUCGUGCAACCCACGCGGAGAGAAAGCGGGGCAGAACUUUGUGCGCGCCCAGGCUGGGAGGACCUCGGGCGCACGCCGAGGCCCCAGGGCUGCAGCGGGGAUCCCGGCGGGGCGGGGGCGAGGGCAAGGGCGCGCGUAUCUGGAAGUGCUGGAAGAAGGCGGAGAUGCGCGUGAUCUGCAGGCUGAGGCACCUGGAGGUGCAGCGCUCGCGCCCGACAUAGAGACUCGUCCAGCCGCCGUGUGGUCGCCGCCGCCACCAAGCCGGGGCCUGGAGCCAGGCAGCCCCCCGAGGCCGCCAACCAGAGGCACAGGGUGAGGGUCACGCGCAGUGCCCCGUACUCCAUGGCUCCCUGCUCUGAGCCGGGGCCGCGCUGCUGGGCACCUCGCAGCCGCAGCAACUCGGCUGCAAAGUUCAAUCCUUGCUCUCCAGCGCCUGCCGCCCGCCCGCCCUCCCGCUCCCCAGGGGCGGGGCCGGGGUGACAGGCGGCCGCUCCAUUGGUCAUCAGCAGCGUGAGUUACAGGGGGCCGGGCCCGGACGCCGGAGCUGCUGUUGAGCUGGUCCAGGCUUCGCGCGGGUCCAGGGCCAUACUGACCCCUUCCUGUGCCCUGUGCCCCGCCCCACCUUCCAGGUGAACUCAGGUGUGAGCGAGGGGAGGCGCCCUCCCGGGUAGCAGGGACCCUGGCCCUGGCUGAGGAAGGGCAGAGCGCCCCUAGGGAGGCUGUCCUCUCCCCCCCCCGUUCCCCACCUCCGGCAAGCCCUUCUGCUUCUUCGGCAUGGGUCACUUGCCCUGAGCCCUAGCAAUGGGAAGGAGGUAAGAGAACGGAAGUGGACGGAAAAUUGUCUGAAUAAUUGCACAAUGCCUUCAUGUAUGACGAGGCCUGGAAAGCCGUAAAGCACUUUUGAAAGGUAAAUGUUUCCAGGUUCCUAAAAUUUUACUUCUUAAAAUGGUUGGUUUUGAAAGGCCCUGUUGCUUAUGUAGAAAUGGACCCUGUGUCUAAACAACUCUUAGUAAUAUCGGAUUGUAGCUCUUGAUCAAUUCUAUUUACACCAACAACCUAAGAAAUGAAUAAUAAGGAACUAGUUGAAAAUUCCUGGAAACUACAGGAUCUUCGUUUUUCUUCUUGCGAUUGCUGGGAUGUGUUUGGCCCAGGUGAUCAAUGCUUAGUUGCAAGCCUGUGGCACUAUUGUGAGACAGUGGAACCUUUAAGACACAGGGCCUCCUGGGAGGAAGUUAGGCCACUGGGGAUAUGUUCCUGAACGGGAUACUGGGAACCUAGCCCUUCCUUGUUUUGUUGCACUAUGUGCUUCCCUGCAUGAUUUGUUAUCUCACCACAGGCCCAAAGCCACAGAGCUGAUUGACCAUGGUUGGAAACCUCUGAAACCAUGAGCCAAAAUAAACCUUUCCUCUUUGCAAGUUGUUUAUCUCAGAUACUUGCUACAGUAAUGGAAAGCUAACCAACAGAGCCCACAAGCUGACCCCACAGCCAGUUGUUACUUUCCACAUGGUCUGAGCCUGGAGUCUCUUAGUUUAAGUCUCACUAUCAAGUCACCCUUCUCCAAACACAAAGCAUGGAAGGAUGAGGAGAAAGGGAGAAGAAAAGGAAGAUGAGGGUGGGGGAAUUUUCAGGCCCAUGAUGAGCUAACCUGAGACAAUGUCUUUCUAGUAAUAUACUUAACAGCCACAGAGAGGAAGCCCUUGAGCUUGAGAGCAGAGGUGUGGUUUGCAGGCUCUGUGAUGAAGAAAACUUGGUGUAGUCAAUAUGUAGAGAUUCUCCAUAUUCACUCCUAAUCUUGAAAAUGAUUGUACAUCUUCUCUUCUGCAUAAUAUUUCUACUAGAAAAUACUAUGUGUAAUUGCUUUUCAACAGGAAAUUUCUUGCCUAUCUGUGCUUUGAUCACUGGUCAAAAUCUUAUUUCACUAAGCUACUGGUUUGGGAAAAAUGUGUUGAAACAAAGAUAGAUGACAAACUAUAUUAACUGCCACCCAGGGCGAUUUCUCCUCUCUGCUUUAGUGUCACAUUAUUACCAGGAAGAAAUGCCACAUAAGUAUAAUACAUAAAUUAUAACACUAAUUUUUUUGACUUAUCAAUUGUCAGAGUAAUCAAUGAAGACAUAUAAAUUUCCCAAAAUGCCCAGAGGAUACUAUACAACAUUUUUAGCCCAUUUGCUAGAUGUUUUGUUGAGGGUAUUUGCUGAGAAAUCAUGUCACUUUUGUCAUAUGCUGAAAGGGUCAAUUGGUUAGUUCUUUUUCCUUAGAGAUAUACUUUUUCAAGUCCUUUUUCAUAAAAAGUUCUGAAAAGUCAUGGUGAGCUUUUUUCAUUACUAACAGAAGUGCUGGGGAUUUAGCUCAGUGUUUCUUCUGCCCGCCUUACAAGCACAAGGUCCCGAGAGUUCGAUCCCCAGUACCCCCCCCCAAAUAAAUAAAAAUAAAAGUGCCUGUCACUACUAACAGAAUAAUUUUUAAAACAUUUACGCUAAAAAGACUCAAUAUAAAUGUUAAAAAUGAAUGUUGAAUUAUAUUUGUUACUUCAGUGGUUGAAAUUAGAGAAGAGAAAAAGGAUGUUAAGAAUUUCUUCUGUAUAAAUUUUUAUUUGGUUUGUCCUCCUGAUUCCAGCAUUAACGGUCUUCACUCAAAUUUCAAGCUUUGUUGUCUUUUCCAUUUCCAAAUCAUCCUCUUUUCCACUUGUCUUAUACUCCUUAGAUGUGAAGGUCAUGUCAUCAUGUUCUAAUAUGAAUUUCUCAUCAUCAUUGCUAGCAUUCCAUAGCUCCUGGGUCAUUCAAGCUCAUUUCUAGAUGAUUUUAGCUCUGGAAA
rnacentral:lncRNA from 1 species